ensembl:misc_RNA
AAUAGUCAAACAAAUUAGCAAUGGGGACACCAAGAGAGUAUAGUCAACCUUGAUUCAGAGAUGUGUCAGUUUAUCUGUUUUCUGUCAAUCAUUAAAUAAGAAAUAUGAAAUAUACAAUUAUGUACAAGGAGACAGAACAAAUUGUUUCAUUCUAGCCAAAGAGAAAGAAUUUUAAUUGGUUGAAGAAAUAAGAUUUUUGUUUU